UCCCUGGUGGUCUAGUAGCUAGGAUUCGGCGCUUUCACCGCCGCGGCCCGGGUUCGAUUCCCGGCCAGGGCG
rfam:Loxodonta africana unplaced genomic scaffold scaffold_265, whole genome shotgun sequence.